rnacentral:rRNA from 1 species
GAGCAUGGCUCAGGAUGAACGCUAGCUACAGGCUUAACACAUGCAAGUCGAGGGGCAGCAUGAUUGAAGCUUGCUUCAAUUGAUGGCGACCGGCGCACGGGUGAGUAACACGUAUCCAACCUGCCGAUAACUCGAGGAUAGCCUUUCGAAAGAAAGAUUAAUACCCGAUAGCAUAGUAUUUCCGCAUGGUUUCACUAUUAAAGAACUUCGGUUAUCGAUGGGGAUGCGUUCCA